rnacentral:rRNA from 1 species
GGAGGGUGCAAACGUUUGUUCGGAAUCACUGGGCGUAAAGGGCGCGCAGGCGGACCUGUAAGUCAGGAGUGAAAACUCGGGGCUCAACUCCGAGCCUGCUUCUGAAACUGCAAGUCUUGAGGGCCGGAGAGGAGAGUGGAAUUCCUAGUGUAGCGGUGGAAUGCGUAGAUAUUAGGAAGAACACCAGUGGCGAAGGCGACUCUCUGGACGGUUCCUGACGCUGAGGCGCGAAAGCUAGGGGAGCAAACAGGGAUUAGAUACCCUGGUAGUCCUAGCCGUAAACGAUGAGUGCUAGGUGGUGGUGGUUUCAACGCCUUCACUGCCGGAGCUAACGCAUUAAGCACUCCGCCUGGGGAUACGGCCGCAAGGUUG